rnacentral:rRNA from 1 species
AUGCCGGGGAGCGCCAUCAGCGGAGGCGCGGCAAGGGCGGCCGCGGUCGCGUGGUGGCUGCAGCGCCACCAGCGACUGCCUCCGCCGGCGGACCUCCUGCCACGCAGCCUCCUUGACCGCGCGGUGGAGCUCGCCAGCAAGACCGCCGCCGCCGCCGCCCCGGAUCUGGACCAGGACCUGCCCUGCUCCCUCGGCUCGUCCUCCCUCCCUGACCUCUGCGACGGCUUGGUUGGUAAUUAG